UGCUGCCUUUUGCAGUGCUCAGCAACUCCCAAUUUUGUUGUACAGAGAUGAAAAAAUAAGGGACGUCCCUUGUAAUAAGGGACAGUUGGCAAACCUAGUUCUGGACAUCAGCAAUGGCCUUUGUGUACUCCAUAGCCAGGAACUGUGCAGUGAUAUGGACCAGAAGUAGCCACACUCAACUUGUUGACGUCCAGCUGAACACUGCAAUGUGGUGCAUCACUGGAACCCUCAAGUCGACCCCAACACCUUGGCUGCCGGUGCUGUCAUGCAUUGCACCUCCAUCCAUUUGGGGUGAUGCUGCAACCCUUCAGGAAUUUCAGCAGAUUGUGGAAAACAAAUAUCUUCCCAUCUUAACAACGUCCCUCACUGCUGCUUGAAGUCACAUAAGCCGUUUUGGACCCAUGAGUUUAACCUUCAACAAUGCAACUUCAACCUGAUGAAGCUUGGAAAGCUGAGUGGAAUUCACAAGAAGUCACAAAUAAACACCUUGUGAAAGACCCAACACAAAAGAUCCCUGGCUUCAAUCUCCCAUGAAGCUCAUGGGCAACCCUAAACCGCAUCCGCAUAACCUAUGGCAGAUGCGGAUAGUUGCUGCACAAAUGAAAAUUAAAGACUAUUCAGUGUGCAACUGUGGUCACUUAGAACAUACCAUGGAACAUAUAACAAUUCAAUGCCCAAUUCACAAAUACAAAGGAGACAUCACAGCAAUACACUCUGCUACUCCAGAUGCAAUUAUCUGCCUUAACCAUCUGAAUAUAAAAUUAAGUUGUUGCUGUACAUUUACAUCAACCAUGUGAAGAAGAAGACCGUGAGUCCCACAAUAAUUGGCAACACUGUUUAACAUUGAUGCUAAUGUCUCCCAGCUUGUGCUUGCCAGUUUUUGGACCAGGUUAACCCUUGUCUUCUUCUUGGCAGCUACUUUCUUCAGAUGGUCGUAGAGGGUUAGCAUACAAUCCAGCUUCAGUCUGAGAUAGGUCGGAGUGGGCUCAUGUCUCACAGUAUUGCCACAGAAGGUCACUUUCAGGGUGCACUUAGAAUUCCUGUUAUCAAGAUGGAAUGCAGUGACUGUUGUUGUUUUGUUUUUUGUGAGGAUUUGGCUUGAGCCUCCAUUUCUGGAAAUAUUCUUCCAUGUUGUUUAGGUCCCCGUUCAAGUUGGAUUCUGGAGGAUGAUACGUUCCAGGAGUUUGUAGGUAGUGUACAGAAGUGAUAUUGGCCUAUAGCUUCCUGGGUCGUUGGUCAGCUUGCCUGGUUUGAGUAUGACAAUAACUAUUGCCCAUCAGGCUUUUGGGAUGCAUCCAGAUUCCAUAGUUUUGGUGUACAGUUUCGCCAGCCAUUGGAGUUCCAUGGAGCCUAGUUGAUGAAGAAAUUCUUGGGAGAUACGAUUUCCACUGGCUGCCUUCCCUUUCUUCGUUAUAGCUAAACCUUUUUUUACUUCAUCAAUACUGAUGGCGAUGGGGUCUUGUGGAGGGAUUGAGAUCGUGGUCCUCCGUAGCUGAUGAUGGCUCACUCGCUUGCUAUUUUUGUCGAGUGGUCCUUUUGUGCUCUCCACCAAUUUUGAGACUAUGAAGUUGGGCCAGACUUUUGAGGUCCGAUAUUCCAUCUGAUUAGCAGCUCUGAGACAUCGAAGUAAGGCCCAGGCAUGGCAACUAGAGUGUGUGAAGUUCAAACCUUCAACACUCUCAAUCCACCACCAAGGUCUGGGUGAGUCUAGAAACUCUAGCAGGGCCUUCACAACAUGUGGGCUGCUGACUGGUUGUAUUGCUGGUGCAGAUCCUGGGUCUCUUUUGUCCAGCAGGGAGUGUAUUCUUCCGAUACCCUUCUUGCCGGCAACGAUAAGGAGGCCAACAGAUCAGUGAUAACAUUCUGGUGUCGCAGGGAUAUGGAUUACCACUUUUUCGACAGCUUCCCCUACAGCAGUCUGUUGGAUUUGGCCAGAUUCACUGUGGGAUUUGUUUUGACAGAAUCACGGAUUUCAGCGCCGACAUGGGUAAUGAUGGACCUAUGUUGGCUGUGGAGAAGUCAGGAAGUAUUUUGCAGGAUGCAUGGAGCAUAGUCCUGCUUUGAUCUUUGGAAACAAUGGUGAGGGCUGGGUUGUAAUUGCAUUGCCAGAGAGCAGAGAGGAAAGUUACUCACUGUUUGGGAUUGAAGACCAGUUGCAGAUCUUCCACAGACCUCCAAUCCAUGAGGUCUUCACCAUUGGCUUCAUUUACUUCGUAGCCUCAAAUAGUGUGGUGGGUGUUAAAGUCACCAAUGUAUAAGUCUGGGAUUGGUGCACUUGGGAUCACUGGUUUUGGCCAUUUUGAAUUAGGGGUUUUAUACACUUUGGUAAUGUGCAGUUCUCCUAUCCUGAUGGCAGUGGUGUAGGUGACUUCCUCUUCAGUUGGGAGGAAGAUGUCAAAAUCCAUUAUGGUGUUCUUCGCAUAUAUGGCCAGGCCGUAUUUCGGAUGGUAGUGGCUAGUCAUGAGGUUGUAGCUAUGGAUAUGGUAGUGGGUACCCUGUUGGUCAUUGGAGAUGUGUGUUUCUUGGAGCGUAAGGACGUCGAUGUCAUGUCUUCAAAAUAUUUGCAAGAUACUUGCACUUUGCCCAGGAAAGUCCAUCAAUGUUAGGUUCAGGAACAAGGAUCCUCCAACUUAUCUGGCAUGUUAUUUGUCCCUGAAAAGGGCUGUUAUGGUGGCUUGAGUUGUUGCUCUGAAGAUGAGGACAUCGUUGAUUGAUGACAUUAGUCGUGAUUUCUCACUUAAUAGAGUGGGCCACAUAAAGGCUGCCAUCUUCCACUCCGGGACUCACCAUAAAAACCACAUGAUUUUUUCCCCUUAAAGCCCCAUCUGCGACUGUCUCACAACCUAGCCUGUCAUCACACUCCCAGAGGCUAGCGCGGAUUAGGCAUAAGAAGAAGAGGACACGGGAGGACAUGUUCUCGGAGCUUAUAGCCUGCUCCAGAGCCCAGGCAGCACAGCAGACCCAGUGGCGGGAGAACUUGACCCGAAUGCACCAAGCCAACAUGGAUCGGGAGGAGAGGUGGCGUCAGGAAGACCAGCAGGCGACUCAAACCCUGCUUGGACUAAUGAGGGAGCAAACGGACACGCUCCGGCGCCUUGUGGAUGUUCUGCAGGAACGGAGGCAGGAGGACAGAGCCCCGCUGCAGUCCAUCUCUAACCGCCCUCCCCCGCCACCAAGUCCCAUACUCCCCUCACCCAAAGUGCACAGAAGGAGAGGCGGCAGAGUCCCUGCUAACUCUCACUCCACCCCUGCAGAGAGCUCGAGCAGCAGAAGGCUCUCAUUCCCCAAAAUUUGACAAGUUCUUUCCUUCCCGCCUGACACAAGCCCCCGUCCAAGUUUCACUUUCCCAGUUCCAUGUUUGGUUGAUAAUAAAAAAUACGUUUCUGUUAACUACUGUUUCCAUCAUGUUCUUUUGGAGGAGGGG